UAGGUAUUCUCACUCCAAAUUACGUAGUGUAAAAAUGGUUAAAAUAAUUUAAAUUACGACUAGUUAAACCUUAUUACAUACUGUGAAAACAGUGCAAAAUCGUAAAAAAUGUGGAAUUGAAGGGAAAAUAUCAAAAACACGGCUUGGAUUUAUUACAAAAUAUGUCUUUCAGGAGAGUAAAAGCUCUUUUGGUCGACGCUGUAGUAUUUUUGAGUUUCAUAACACUAGUCGGUCAUUUAGGCCUUGAUAUAUGGCAGAGAUAUGUUGUUAACUUCGAAAUAGAUAAUAUGAAAGCAAAUUUAUAUUCCUUAAAGAAUACUUUAGAUAAUAUUCUCACCGCCUAUGACAAGUUAGAUAAUGAAUUAAACUCUUUGAAAACAAAUGAGAGAGCUGUCUCAUCGAGAGAAUUUUACAAGUUACAUACAGGUGGCCACCGUGAUAAAAAUGCCUUGAAAGAUCGCAAAAAAAUAGCUAAAGCGACUAAAGAUAAAGCAUGCUCCAUAAGAAAACAAGGUGUUCGUACUGUGAAUUUUGCAAAAAUUAAUGGAACUACAAUUAUAAAGUAUCCAUUGCAAUCAACUGCAAUGCACUCAAGAAAUGACACGAGGCGUGUGCCAAGAUAUAAUUUUUAUAGCAAUACAUAUGAGUGUGAUGAACAUGAUUGCAGUAUGUGGAAAUUUUGAGUUUCAAAUUAAACGAGUAAUAUAGUA